rnacentral:rRNA from 1 species
CGGACGGGUGAGUAAUGUAUAGGAGCUUGCCUAGUAGUGGGGGACAACGUGUGGAAACGCACGCUAAUACCGCAUACGCUCUACGGAGGAAAGCGGGGGAUCUUCGGACCUCGUGCUACUAGAUGGGCCUAUAUUGGAUUAGCUAGUUGGUAGGGUAAAGGCCUACCAAGGCGACGAUCCAUAGCUGGUUUGAGAGAAUGAUCAGCCACACUGGGACUGAGACACGGCCCAG